rnacentral:lncRNA from 1 species
AAAAAAUUCCUGCUCAUUAAUUUUCAGCAUUAAUUGUCUUCUCUCCCUGUGUUCAGGCUUGGAAGAAGUUCCCCAGUGGGACAGUGGAAGGUGCCCUGCCCAUGGAAGGGGUGGGAUGAGAUGAUCCUUCAUCUCCCUUCCAACCCCUACCACUCCAGGACCCUGCAGGAAUUCCUUCUUUUCCUCCCUGCCACUCCUGCAUCCCCACAUCAGGAAAGGAGGAGGUGUGUGAGGUGACAGCAAUCACACAGCCCCAGAGGGAGGAGGACAGAGCUGGUGUGAGAUCAGGUGAAAACUCCUCUGGUUGCCUCCACAUCAGGGGAAAUCCCCCAGCCAAGACCCCGCAGCUGCUUUUGCAGUCGCUCCAGAGACAAAGGAACGCCCUGGGAAGAGCAGAGCCUUCAGCCCGGGAAUAUUUGUUCCCUGGAUUUGUUCAGGACAAAUCUCCUCCAGAUCAAAGCCCCCCAGCCCAGAGCAGUGAGGGAAGGUCUGGACAGGAGCCAGCCUGGGGAAAUGGAGCAAAGUCUGGAUAA